rnacentral:rRNA from 1 species
CCUACGGGGGGCAGCAGUGGGGAAUAUUGGACAAUGGGGGGAACCCUGAUCCAGCCAUGCCGCGUGUGUGAAGAAGGCCCUCGGGUUGUAAAGCACUUUCAGUGAGGAAGAACGCCUGGUGGUUAAUACCCAUCAGGAAAGACAUCACUCACAGAAGAAGCACCGGCUAACUCCGUACCAGCAGCCGCGGUAAUACGGAGGGUGCGAGCGUUAAUCGGAAUUACUGGGCGUAAAGCGCGCGUAGGUGGCUUGAUAAGCCGGUUGUGAAAGCCCCGGGCUCAACCUGGGAACGGCAUCCGGAACUGUCAAGCUAGAGUGCAGGAGAGGAAGGUAGAAUUCCCGGUGUAGCGGUGAAAUGCGUAGAGAUCGGGAGGAAUACCAGUGGCGAAGGCGGCCUUCUGGACUGACACUGACACUGAGGUGCGAAAGCGUGGGUAGCAAACAGGAUUAGAUACCCCAGUAGUC